rnacentral:rRNA from 1 species
CCUACGGGCGGCAGCAGUGAGGAAUAUUGGUCAAUGGACGAGAGUCUGAACCAGCCAAGUCGCGUGAAGGAUGACUGCCCUAUGGGUUGUAAACUUCUUUUAUCUGGGAAUAAAAUGUUCCACGUGUGGGAUUUUGUAUGUACCCUAUGAAUAAGGAUCGGCUAACUCCGUGCCAGCAGCCGCGGUAAUACGGAGGAUCCGAGCGUUAUCCGGAUUUAUUGGGGUUAAAGGGAGCGUAGGUGGAUUGUUAAGUCAGUUGUGAAAGUUUGCGGCGCAACCGUAGAAUUGCAGUUGAAACUGGCAGUCUUGAGUACGGUAGAGGUGUGCGGAAUUCGUGGUGUAGCGGUGAAAUGCUUAGAUAUCACGAAGAACCCCGAUUGCGAAGGCAGCCUGCCGCAGCCUUACUGACGCUGAAGCACGAAAGCGCGGGUAUCGAACAGGAUGAGAUACCCCAGUAGUC